AUGCAUAGAACGGUACACCCUCCCUGUUUAAGACAACAAAACCACAAAAUCAUCUCUACUCACAGGUCCGGUGUUCCAGUGGAAGCAGUCACGCACAUCACAAGCUACAGGGUACUGGAAUAUGAUAUGGAUUAUGCACCACAUCCUCGGUUACACCACAUAAAGCACAGUUCGCAUCUCCCAGCCAACUUUAGCAGAUUGAUUCUUCCUCUUAAACACAUCCAAAGAAAUCUUAUUUUGCAAAGGGAUCUUGGCCUUCCAAACAUCCGUUAUCCUCUGUGCGACGGUGAACAUGGCUGA
rnacentral:rRNA from 1 species